CCCCCGUAGCGGUCCCUCUCCAGAACACAGGCCUGCACGACACGUUCUCCACGACGGCGGUAAAUGCAACGACGUCGGUCCGUGACACUCACGUUAAAUCUCAAUUCAUCCGAGAAGAUGACAUCUCGCCAUCUCCUGGGUCGCAAAUGCCCACCAUUCCUGGCCCAUAAGAGUCUUGCUUGACGAUGUCUGUGCAGGAGGAUAAGGCCACGGUAGGGUCGGUGGCAAUGCAGUCGUGCUGCGGCAAGACGUCUCCGGACAGUUUGGGUGCUGAAGAGUCGUCCCCUGGUUCCCACUUCAGUCCUGGCAGUGCUUGCGGCUGUCAAAAACCGAUUGCGCAGGUGCCGCAACCGUAUGUUCCGGUCCUGUCUAUUGGUCGUUACGCGUGGUGUGCCCGAACGACGGCAGUCAUUGACGGUCCCUGUCGUCUGAUAUCGGUUGAGGAGCCGAUUAAUGGUUGACGGGUGCACGUGGAACCGUUGUGCUACCCGCAAUUGCGAGUUUCCGGCAUUCAACAAGCCAAUGGCUUGAUUCCGAUCGGCGUUGUUUAACCGAGGCAUCGUGUAGGAGUGAUAUACUCAUUGCCACCCGCGUGUUCUGAGUGUGCCCGGGUAUCAGGAAAUGCACGUGCAAAGUGUUAUUUCGCCAAGUGGUUGCGUGUGCGCGAUUUACCGGAUAAUGCGUUUUUAGCGUUGUUCCCCUUAUGUUGGGAACAGGCCUGAAGUCGACCUUUACAUGCUGCUGAAAUAAUGUAUACCACUGUACCAUGUACAUUGACGAAUAGCGUCAACGAAGUCCAACCGGAACGUAUAUUAUUUUGACAAAAGGAAAUUGCAUUAUUAAUGCCGGCUAGUAUAGGUUAGUUAACAAUUUUAUUAAAUACCGUAAUUUUUUUAGUUGUCUCCAUUAUCAUGUUGCUGCCAUCAUAAAAUCCAAUUAACACUUUUAAACAUCAAAUGUGGUCAACAAUUGGACCAUAUUUGCAGAUUGUGCUUUUGUUAUUGUACAUGUGUAUGUAGCCAAAACUUGCAUUAUUAGAUCCUGCUUUAGUUUGCAAAUUCUGAUUGCACAAACACAAAUAAGUAGGUUGGAAUGUAGGUUUCUGUCGGUCUACAAUUGAAGCAAGUUGACGUAAAACGUUGGAAGAAAUUAUUCAACACGGUCUUCCAGUGUUUCCAAUAUUAUCAUUACCAUUCCUCAACCAUUGAAUUUUAUGAAAAUACUUACAAUUUGCAAGUGAUAUUUGGUCUGUCUGGGUAAAACGGUCCUUUAACAUAGCAGUUGUUCUUCACGUGAAUACUGUAUUUUUUUAUAGCCAGAAAGUUUUACACUGAACAUGUGAUACACUAGUAUAUUGUCCAGCGGCACGUUCCACAAAACGAUAUUAGUACUAAGACCACAUAAAGUUGUUAUGCAUUUAAGUUUAUCUUAGUGCUAAGAUAGCUUUGUGGGACAGGGCCCAGGUGAAUAUAAUUUGGGAAGAAUGUUGCAUGAUGAAAGAAUGGUUCUUGUGUGUGAACUGGAUAUAUUGGGAGUUAGAAUAUGAUGGGUAAGGUAGCUGGGACUGGCAACAUGAAGUUUGGGUUACAUGUUCUGGGAAAGUGCUACCAAUUCUGUGUGUUACAUUAGUAACGACUGGUUGAGAUAAUAAUUAAUAAUAAUCUGGUGGUUGAUAUACUUGCUGGAAUGUACUGAAUGAAGGACUGAGAAACUGUCUGGAAUCAGAUAAGUAUUCUCAACAUAAUUCAUGAUGGGCCAGUACAUAUUUUUCAGCAAUUUUUCUGAAAUUACUGAUUCUUCUGUUGUGAUGUGUCGAUUUUGUGGCAGGAUCUGAAAGUAUCGUUACAAACCAACGUGUCAGGAAUCCUAGCCAAUGGCACAUUUAAGAAGUUUUCAUAAAUGCAUGAACAACCCAUCAUUAUGUUUAUCAUAGGUCAGAUUUUACUGAAACUGUGUUUAGACUUCAUUUGUGAUUAAAACUUGCCAAACUAAUACGACACCAGCAAAGAAUAUCAAAAGGUCGACUGGCCCUAAAUUUAAUUAAUUUUGAUGAGUAUAAAUAGUUGAUGAACUGGUCAGAAUGUGAUAAGUAAAGUGUUUAUAAACUGGUGGAAAUGUGAGUGAAUGUUUGAUGAAUGGUUGGAUUUUAAAGAGUGAAGAGUCAAAUUGGUUGGAUUGUGAGAAAUGAAUAGAGCUGGAAUGUGAUGAGUGAAUGGUUGGUGAAUGUGAACACUGACCAGAAUUUGGUGUUAACAUUUAGUGAAGUAAUUUAAAUGUGAUGAGUGAAAGGUUGGUGGACUAACUGGAACGUAAUGAGUGAACGGUUGGUGGACUGGCUGGAAUGUAAUGAGUGAACGGUUGGUGGACUGGCUGGAAUGUGAUGAGUAAAAGGUUGGCAGACUGGCAGGAAUGUGAUGAGUGAAAGGUUGGUGGACUGGAUUUCAGGAGUCUUUUGGUCAGCAUCGGUGUUCUUAAUGUACUGGUUAAAUAUCAAAGUGGUCUUAUUUGUCUUGGUUAGAACCAGAAUAAAACUGUAAUCAAGAAUGUUAUAUGUAUUUAUAUAAAAUAUGUUUUAAUUUUUCUUUUCUUUUCUUUCUUUCUUUCUUAGUACUUGGAAUAUUUAAUAUUUAUCUCGACACUGCCGGUUGAAUUUAGUUUUUUUAAUGGGAUUUUUUCAGAUUUUGAAGGUGACCAUCGAGAGCAGAUGGUAAACCAUUAUAGAAAUAUUUGACAAUAUUGUUUUCAGGGGGUGGGGUGGGAAUUCAAUUAUGGCAAUAAUGCUGGUUAAUAUAAUCAUUUUAAAUAUUCAUUCACAUUAUUUAUUAUCCUUUUCUUUCUUUUUUUUUGCUUCGAGUUAUUUAUUAAUAUAAAAACUGACUUAUCGUCUUGGUGGAAUUUUUGUAUUAUGUCCAUAUUUCAAUAAACUGCUGUAUAUUCAUGUAGAUAUCUGGUAUUAUUCUUUCAUCUUGUUGCACCAUGUUGGCUACAAUUUAAAUAGAGGGAAAUAAAACUUGUAUUUUUA